CCUACGGGGAGCAGCAGUCGAGAAUCAUUCACAAUGGGGGAAACCCUGAUGGUGCGACGCCGCGUGAGUGAAGAAGUAAUUCGUGAUGUAAAGCUCUAUUAGUAGGGAAGAAAAGGACGGUACCUGCGCAAGAAGGCAAGGCUAACUACGUGACAGCAGCCGCGGUAAUACGUAGGGGGCAAGCUUUAUCCGGAUUUACUGGGUGUAAAGGGGGCGUAGACGGGUGUGCAAGUCUGUUGUGAAAGGCGGCGGCUCAACCCCCGGACUGCACUGGAAACUGUACGGCUGGAGUGCAGGAGAGGUAAGUGGAAUUCCUAGUGUAGCGGUGAAAUGCGUAGAUAUUAGGAGGAACACCAAUGGCGAAGGCGGCUUACUGGACUGUAACUGACGUUGAGGCUCGAAAGCGUGGGGAUCAAACAGGAUUAGAUACCCUUGUAGUC
rnacentral:rRNA from 1 species